rnacentral:siRNA from 1 species
UGGUCCCUGCGGAUGCUA